AGGCUAGGGAGCCGGAUGAGCAUACUGGGUGGUGAUUUGGUGAACCUCAUGUCCAACUAUGAUGUACCAGAGAGAUGGGCUAAAUUCUUUUGUGCUGAAGUAGUGUUGGCGCUUGAUGCUAUCCACUCCAUGGGCUUUGUUCACAGAGAUGUGAAGCCUGAUAACAUGCUCUUGGAUAGCAGUGGCCAUCUAAAGUUGGCUGACUUUGGUACUUGUAUGAAGAUGGAUAAGGAUGGCCUAGUAAGAGCAGAUACAGCAGUGGGAACGCCUGACUAUAUCUCCCCCGAAGUCCUAAAAUCUCAGGGUGGUGAAGGGGUCUAUGGCCGCGAGUGUGACUGGUGGUCUGUGGGUGUCUUCCUCUAUGAGAUGUUGGUAGGGGAUACGCCAUUCUAUGCUGACUCACUAGUUGGCACUUACGGAAAAAUCAUGGACCAUAAAAAUUCUCUUAAAUUUCCCGAGGAUAUUGAAAUAUCAUCUGAAGCGAAGAGUCUCAUAUGUGGGUUCUUGACAGACAGAUUAACACGGCUUGGGGGAAAUGGCAUUGAAGAGAUUAAACGACACACUUUUUUUAUCAAUGACCAAUGGACCUUUGAUACUAUAAGAGAAUGUGUACCGCCAGUAGUUCCGGACCUUACAAGUGAUGAUGAUACCAGUAAUUUUGAUGAAGUGGAAAAUGAGGACUCGUCAGAAGAAAGCUUUCCGACUCCUAAAGCCUUUGUUGGGAAUAAUCUUCCGUUCGUUGGCUUCACAUACUCUAAGGAUUACCGAUUGCUGAGCACAAUGGACAAACCUGAUGGCAAAAGAAAUUUGACGAAUGAUGGCACAGAAGCGAGUAAUCAAAUUGCUGUUCUGAGCGCUGAAGUAGAACACCAGAGAGUUGUAGUAGAUGAGCUGGAGAACAAGUAUCAAGUAACUUUGCUUCAACUUGAUGCCCUAACACGGAAGGACCAAGAGAGGCAGCAGGAGAGGAGAGAUAUUGAUAGAAAAUUACUAUUGCUACAACACGAUCUAAAGGAGGCUCAAAGAAAGGCGGACAAUGAAAUAGAAAGCAGACGUAAGUUGGAUGGCCUCUACCAAGAGGUGAAGAAGAAACUUGAGGACGAGCAAAAUAAACGGACGAGAGAUAUUGUCUCUGCUCAGCAUGCACACGAGAAGCUAAACUCUUUGGAAAAGCAGCUUAAAGAAGUUCAAGACAAAUAUAAAGUUGAGUCGGACAAUAACACGCGACUACGCAAGCAAAAUGCAGAACUGAAUGUAAUAAAUCAGCGGAAAGAUACCUCGGUGACAGAGUACAUGGAGAAAAUCUCAGCGGUCCAGUCAGUGCGAGACACCUUGGAACGAGACUUGGUGAACCUACAGACCCAGUUGGACCAGGAACGAGCACACAAGAACCAUCAGGUUGACUUGGUCUCACAAGCUGAUAUUAAAAUACAAGCAUUACAGUCCAAGCUUGAUAGUGCAUUCGAAAGAGAAGCGGUUGCACGAAGAGAAGCUGAGAAAGUGUCGGAGCGUCUUGUCCAGCUGGAAAAAGACAGAAACUCACUGGAGUUAGAGCUAAGAGGCAUGACAAGCCGGUACGAGCAAGAGGCAAGAGCUUUACGAGAAGCAAAUAAUGCUGCCCCUACACACAACCACCAGUCCAGUGCACAAGCACUAGCAGCCUUGCAGGAACGCCUAAAUGCAGAGAAGCAGAAACGUCAGCAAGCAGAGGCAUCUAGUCAGGAGAAGGAGCGUCAGAACUCGAUGUUGAGUGUUGAUUACCGGCAGCUGCAGCAACAGCUUCACAAACUGGAAGGAGAGUACCGGCAAGAGUGUGAAAAGGUCAAGGCUCUACAGAAACAGUUGGAAUCUGAGACUGAAAAGAGGUCCAGCCUUACUUCAGAUCUCCAGGCUCAGUCGUCUGAGGUUGCUCUCCUACGUACAAGAGAAAAACUGCUCACUCGUGAUUUAGAAGAAGCAAAAGAGGCACGGAAUAACUUGGAGGAAGAACUGCACAAACUCAAGACACAAAAGUCGGUGGAUGACAUGCAGAUGAGGGAACUGCAGGACACACUCGAAGCCGAGCAGUAUUUCUCAACACUUUACAAGACUCAGGUACGCGAACUUCGCGAAGAAGCAGAUGACAAGAGUCGGCAGGCAAUGGAGUUGGAAGAAGAACGCACAAGCCUUACUCAGCAGAUCCAACUGGCCGUGGGACGAGCCGACUCGGAGGCUCUUGCCCGUUCCAUUGCUGAAGAGACCGUAGCCGAACUAGAGAAAGAGAAGACGGUUAAAGAACUGGAGAUCCGUGAUCUUGUUUCCAGACACACUGCUGACAUCACAGAAAAGGACUCUAUUCUCAAUGUUGCAAAAGAACGUGAACAGGAACUGAGCAGAUCAGUGGAGACUCUCAAGCAGGAAAAGGAUUUGCUUAAUGCCCAAGUCCAGAAUCUUGAGGAAGAACACAAGAAAAUUUCUAAUGAUCACCAGGGUGAGCUAGAAAAAUUAAGCAAGCAAUUAAAACAAGAACAGCUUCUUAAGAUGCAAGCUGUUAAUAAAUUAGCAGAGAUCAUGGCUCGUAAGGAAAAUCUUCCAGCUAGUCGUAAACCUAAGGCCUCGGCCAAUGACCUGAGAAGAAAGGAGAAGGAAUGUCGUAAAUUGCAACAAGAGAUGACAAUGGAGCGUGACAAGUUCUCUCAAAUGGUGUCAAAGUAUACAAAGGAAGUCCAGGAUCUGCAAGCACUGUUAUAUGAGGAAAGUCAGGCUAAAGUCCGACUUCAAAUGGAGGCCGACUCUAAAGACUCUGAAAUUGAGUCUCUCACCUGUAAACUGGCAAACAUCAACAGUGAGACGGCCUCCCUUAGCAGUGGGGCAGAUAACGAUAUUGAUGAAUUAGAGUCUCGACUUGAGGGUUGGCUGUCCAUUCCCAAUAAACAAAACAUCAAACGCCAUGGCUGGCGGCGACAGUACGUGGUUGUCUCAUCAAGGAAGAUCAUCUUUUACAACUCGGAGAAUGAUAAACAAAAUUCGGACCCAAUUCUUAUUCUGGACUUAACAAAACUUUUUCAUGUUCGGUCUGUAACACAAGGGGAUGUUAUAAGAGCUGAGGCCAAAGAUAUUCCCAGAAUAUUCCAGUUAUUAUAUGCUGGAGAGGGGGAGAGUCGAAAGCCUGGCGAUACUCCUGGCCCUUUGGCUCUCCUUGAGGGUGCAGGCCCAGACAAAGCAGGGACCAUUGUUCACAAAGGCCAUGAAUUUUUGGCCAUUAGCUUCCAUAUGCCUACCAACUGUGAGGUCUGUCAGCGACAUCUAUGGCACAUGUUCAAACCACCACCAGCUCUCGAGUGCAGAAGGUGUCGAUUGAAGAUUCACCGGGACCAUCUUGAACGCAAGGAGGAACUGGUAGCUCCUUGUAAAGUUAGUUAUGACUUGAACACUGCCAAGGAAUUGCUACUGUUAGCUCCCACGGUCGAGUCCCAACAGAACUGGGUCUUGCGGUUGUCCAAGAAAAUUCAAAAGUCAGGGUACAAAGCCAACAAUGCUGGUGGCCCUGACGGUGCCAAAGUCUCCCCAAGAAUGUAAAAGCCUUUAGGACUAAGCAGCUUCAGACAAGAAGUAAAUGAGGGAGUAUUUACAAAUGAGUUUGCAGCAAAGAGAAUCAACCAGAUCGUCGUAUCGACCGUUUGUUGUACAGAAAUCUGCUACUUUGCCCCCUAACUCUAACUUAAGUAGAAAAUAGUGAAUUCUUAAGCCCUUCCCUGUUUUCUCACCUUGAGGAAUUUUAGUGGCUCUCUGAGAUUGCCUUGAAUAUAAAAUCAAAGAAAUUCUUACUGGCAUUUCUGAAACUAUUUAGACUUACGGAUAUCUGCUGAAUCCCUCCACAAUGCAGAAAAACAAUUGUUUGAACAAGUAAUUGAGGUAUUGUCUUCGAGUCAAUGUGACAAUCGCCUCACCUUGAAGAUAAAUGACUGUGCAAAACGGAUGUUGUUUUGGCCAGAAAGAUAUUAGUGUAUUGAGGACAAGUGCCUUAUGAAGUCCUAGUUAAUAAUACUUGAUUAUGUGCAUUAUUUAAAGUCCUGUUAUUCUCCCUCAGAGACAAGUCUUUGUAGUGACAUAAUUAUUAAAGUAAUAUUUUGCUGAAUUGCUCGUAACAGAAGAAGAGUAAGAAUUUUUGGUACAAGAAAGCCUUAUUUUGUAUGUUUCUAAUUAUCUGUAAUACUUAAUGCUUCCAGUAUACAUACAUAAGUUGUCCUCCUUUAUCGUCCAUUACCACAUCAGACUGCUGCAAGUGAGUUAAUGCAAGGAAACAAAUGACUGCAUUGUGUUGUGUGUGUUUUGUGAAGUCACCUAACUGUAAGCAGUCACAAGUUCAGUAAUUUACUCAAGGCAGUAUUUUGUGUGUGUGCACGUGUGUAUUUUGUAAUUAAUAAAUUUCAUGGAAAGUGUAAACAUUCCCAGUAUUUUAUGACCCUCUGUGUUAUCCUUAGUAUUUAACAAUUGGAAAAAAAUUUAUCCUUUAAAAUAAUUAAAAACAACAAAAAUUUGCCUUGGUGUCAAACUACUGUACUUUGUGGCUGUGCUUGUUGUGUAAAUAUUGUCCUGCAUGAAUGUGGUCUUGAAUGUGAAUAAUGAUAGUAAAUCAUAAUCAGAAGUUGAUAGUUGUGGUUGAACAAGACAAGAUUUUUUUAUAUAUACAAUUUGUAUGAAUAAUUAUAAUAAACUGAUAACCUAGAAGUUCAAAAUGCAAGUGAUUCCAUGAUGAGUCUUGAAAGUUAGGCUGGAUAGUUCAGAUGGGACUUUGCCGAGUCUACUGGUAGUGUGCUGCUUGUUAUAUAGCACCUGUCAAAGCUAAGCUGUCUUUGAGUUUAGUGCCACCCAUCUCCAUCCUGAAAUUCUUACAUGCCCUCUUGUAAUUUUGGUUUCUUUUUAUAUUUAUAUAUCACAUCUACUGGAAUACGAACUCGUCAUCACCUGUGGAACUCUCAUGAUGCUUUCACUCGCCAUUCCUCCCAAACUAAGGGUCUAGUCUGGAUUGAAGCAUCAGUUGAGUACUGCUGAGUAAGCUAGAAUUUAUAAGUACUAUUAUUAUUUCCCCCUAUUUGUCACACAAGUGAAGUCAUAAUGCAUUAACCUAGCAGGAAUAAGCUUCAGUGUCUUGUCAUUUAUAAAGGUAAAUUGUCAUGUAUAUCCAAACCAGUGUUGUUCAGCAUAGGUAAUCGUUAGUAAAAAUGUCUUUAAUAUUAUUCAGGGUGGUUCAUACUUCAGUUACCAGUUGUGUAGCCGCUAUAUAUUAGUGUGCACUUGGCUAGUAAAAGUCUGUGCUGAUUACUUGCUAUCUUUGUUCAUAACAUGAUCUUACUGACUUCAUUCCACUGCUUGUUAUUCUUCUUUUUGACUUGUAUUACACAAUGACAGUCACCAUUUUGUGGACACAUGACAAAUUUGCUUAGUUGAAGAGAGCACAAAGUGGUGACAGUGAUGUGAAGGACCACCAAUAAGAGUGUAGACUUCAUUUGUAGAUGUUUUGCCUGUUAGGGCAUUACUAAAUCUCGUAUUUGAUAAUACCCUUAUAGGUGAAAUUUUAUUUACAAAUGAUAUCUUUCAUCUCGGUUGUUCUCUAUGUCCUCGUCUAGGGAAACUUCCAUUUCUUUCUUUGACUUUAGAUUAUCCUUGUACUGUUGCUGUGUACAAAAAUAACUACAUAUGCAUGUGAAUGAGGAAGAUUGUUUCUUUAUCAUGGCUAAUAAUUAGGAUGCUAAUUGCUUAAAGUUUUCACAUAAACUUUCAUUUUGAUCCAUGCUGAAACCAUAGAAAUCUCAGUUCCUAUAAAAUGCCUAAUAAUCUUGCUGUUGUAAUUAAUGAUGAUGCAAUAUCAUAACACUAGUAGUAGUGUACCAUGUUAUAAUGUGCCCAGGUUCUCUUAUAUCAGGUAAUGUACAUAAUAAGUUUUUUUUUCUCACAAGAUCAGAGAUGAGUUGCACUUCAUAAAUUGUGAGGUAUAUUCAGAAAACAUGUUCCUGUUAUCCUACAAUAAUAUUCCACAUUUCAAAAUGUUAUGUUCAUUACUCAAACAUACUACUAAUAUAUUCUCGAAUAGAUGUACGAUUUAGGAUGCCAACAGAGUUCUCAAGAAAAUGAAGUUAUUGACUUGAAUCAUAAAUAUAAAGAUAUUGUGUAGGGGGGUGGGAAGGAAUUUUCUAUAAAUUACAACACUAUUUGAUGUGAUGCACAACCUGCAUCAUAUAAUAGCUGCUGGUUACAACUUGAAAGUGGAAAUUUAUUACAGUACUUUUUUUUUAUAUAGGGAGUUGUAAUGCAAUUUUAAAUGUGCCAUAUCAUUUUAUGUUUAGAUGUUUUAUUUACACUUUUUACAGUACUGUAUCAUGUUAAUGACAAAAUAGGGUAAGUACACACACCAGAACUAUCAUAUUUGGUAAGCCAUUUAAUUUUAAGUGUCUGAAGCAUUAUUUUGAUUUUGGAACACAUUCAUUUCAGUUUGUGGAAAUUUUCAUGGAGAUUUUCAAAUUAUAUAAACUUGUAUUUUUUUCAAUUUGAAUAAUGUUAAUUAUAAUUAUCUGUAUAUUCAGUUGGCUAAAGAGACAUCUGCAAAUAUUAUUAUUUGGUUAGUGCUUGAAUUGUAACAAGUUGAAUGACGGUUUUAUUGUAAUUAAACUUCUUAACUUUUAUUAAGUAAAUAAAAGUUAAAAGGGGGCAUGUUUUUGGAAAUUUUAUCUAUUUAACAAUAUCUAUUAACUGCCUCAAGCCUUAUCCAUUAUGCAUCACCUUCAAUUAUAAUGACUGUAAGGAAGAAUAAUUUUAACAUUAAUUAUUGAUAAGACCUAAGUCUUGGGGUGUAAAUUGGAUGAUUACUUCAAGAAUUCUAUUUAGUACUUUCAUGCACAGCACAUGUACUUUCAUUUUGACAUAAUGCUAGCAAGUUUGAAGGAUAAACACCCCCCAUAAAUGUAGCAAUUCCAGUAUUAUUACCCCAUUUCUUACCAUCAUUGGGUGGGGGAGGUAUAUGUCAGGAGAUAAACAUUGUAAACACAAACAUUGUUUGUGGUACUGUGUACCACAAACAAGCAAUCGCUAUCACACUCCAACACACUCGGCAUCACACUACCACUUUGUAAGACCAGUUGUACAGCUCUCCAAAUGCAUUUUCUUGUAACAGAGUUCAUGAAACUAAGUAACAUCAGCAUAAAACACAAUUUAAUUGAAAGUAGGACACUAGACAGUCUUCUCCUUUUGAAACUGAAUUUGCUAAAUUACAAUGAUGGACUUGUUUUAGUAAAUACUGUACAUUUUUUAGGUUAACCAUUUAGUUAUGUAAAUGCAUAUUUUUAUUAUUGUAUGAGUCCUUGUAUGAGGAAUAUGAAGCUGCCAAGUGUGUGUGUACCAGCUUAGGAAUGAGGAUAAAAUGUACAGGUAAAUGCAUUUGGUUAACAAUUUUUUUUCCUUUUUCUGUCUCUUUCUCGAGUGGAGGUGGUGGUUUGCAGAAGAUGGGCUUCCUUAAAAAUCCUUGUAGUAUAAUUCGACUAUUUAAAUCUGGGAGCAUUCUGAAUAUCUGAAAUAUUGUUUUGUUUGACUCUCGCCAAAUUUUCUGGAUUUCUCGGUUAAUAAUAUACAGUAGUGUAUUUUUAGCAUAUUGCAUAUUCAGGUAUACAAAUAUUAUAUAAAGAAUUAUAUAGUUUACAUGUAAAUAAUAAUUAUAGAGAAAAUUAAUACAUCACAUUUAUUUGUUCCCUUAGCACAGGCUGGUCUUGAUAACCCAGAGGCAGCAAAUGCAGUUUUAGUACAAUGUCAUGCCAUGUAUUACACUUCUGAUCCCACCUUGAAGACCUUAAUGCCCAUGGUUAGUGCUAUUAUUUCAACUAAAUGUAACUAUGGCCCAUCAAUAACCACCCCCAGGCAUCAAUGUUGUACUUACCAGUCAGUGUGUAACAGGCAGUGAGGUCUAGGGCACUGUGCCGCACCUGCUAGCUUUGUUGUACCUGUUGCAUUAUAAUUUUAACUAUUCUGACAUUUUUCUUUGUCGAAUCUCUUGUAAUCCAAAAUCCUGGUACAGUACUCUGAAAGUUGGAUUGUCACUAUAAUUACCACCACUGCAUUCCCUUUUCUUCAAUAUGAUCUGGUCUCUUUGCUUUAUCUUUGUAAAUACUACUGUAAUACCGAUUCCUUUCUUGUACCAGCCACAAUCACAUUUUUCUAAUACUGUAUCCUGUCUUUCUCUUUCACAAGGAAGUUUCUUCUACCUUCGUUUGAUGCACCCAUAUUAUUCUUGCCAGACAACAUGGUUUCAAUGGUCAGAUACUGUCAUGAUUUAUCAGAAGAAAAAUCAAUGAAAAUGCUUGAGUAUUGAGAAGUCAGACAGCAUUUUUACAUGGGGAAAACACAUGAUCAAUAUAGGUUCUGUUGCAUCAAUAGUAGUUUCACUUGAAUUUUUUAACAAUGUAUAGUGUAAUGCAAGUUUAGGAAACGUGUGUAAAAUAUCCAGUACAGUAUAUGCCUUUUUGAUAAUUACUGAUUCUUCCAUUAUCCAAUUUUUGAACAAGGAAUAAAUAAUUGUGAAAAACAGUGAGCAGAUUUGAUGUUUUGAGGUAUUCAUUAUAUGGAAGCCUGCAUUUUGAGGGAGCGAGUAUGUAAAAUACCUCAAGGAUAAAAUUGUGUGGAAACUGCAUUGCAGGAUUGUCAGGCAUUGAUGUAAGCAAUGAAACACAAUGUGCAUCUCAUCACUUUUGCAAUACUGUAGUAAUUAAUUUUUACUGCCUUAUUGUUUUAAAUUAAUUUAAAAAUAACAUAGUAAUUUACACAGCUUAAUUAUUGCAAAUCUAAUAGCAAGUUUUGAAAGUUGUUAAAUUUUUUUAAUUUUCAGCCUCUCUUUACAUAUGAUUGACAAUAUUAAGGUUUGGUUUGCAGAAAAGGCCAGAAUGUACUAACUGCAAGUGGUGGCUGUUGUGGUUCAGAUGGUUCAGAAUGCAUUAGUUACCAGGGAUUAGGGAAGUUCAUAUACGUACACUCUAAAAAAAAUAUUUUACAUAAUAAAAUUGGUAAUGCACCAGUUAUUAAAAACACUGCAAGUACAUCUAAUGUGAAAAUCUGAAUUAAGGUUGCUAGAGUAAGCUUAUGUGGCAUAUAUUUAAAAAAAAUAAAUUUGCAAUUCAGCUUGAGAGAAAUCCUUAUGGAAUAUGUGAAGAAUAUAUUGCUGUGAUAAGGUAUAUGUAUUUAGAUGUAAGGAACUGAAAGGGAUUGGGUGGUGGUCUCCAGUUUUGUGGAUACUGCUGCGGAUACUUAUGUGCUUUUAAAUACUCGUGUUGGACAUGCUGCAAUAGUGCAAUGUAAUUGUUUACCCUGCCACACCUUACCGUCUGUUUUUGUUACUUCCCUUCAGUAUCGGCACAAACAGGAAUACCUGCAUUCACAAAGUCACGUUUUGCAGUACUGUUAAAUGUAUACUAUUAAUUUGUUUUCAUCUCUAAUGUAUACUAUAGUGAAAUAUUUAUUAUUCCAUGACCAAUUUUGCAUUAUUUUGAAGUAGCUGUGAUUUUCUUCAGUUUUAUGAUCUAAUAAGUUAAAGGGCAACCAUCUCAUAUGGGAACUAUUCUCUUGUGGCAAAACAGUCAGUGAAAUUUGAUAGACUAAUCGUAGGGCACGUUUCAAGUGAUGUACUGUAGUUUACCAAUGCCUCAGAAAUAGAAUUUGAAAUAGGAUGAAAAUUCCUGUUAUCUUGACAGUGUUAGGCCUAUUUGUGUUUUAUCAGUAAAUGUUUAUAUUUUACCUUGGAUUGUGUAUUUCUACAUAGGCAUUAUUUGAAGCAUUAUGUCUACAGUCUACUCAUCUUUUUUCAUAACACUGUUGAAAGUGGUACAUUUUAAUCCCAAACUAAGCCCGUUAUUAUUGGUGUAACCACAUUAUCUGGGUUUAUUUAAAAGUAAAUGUUGCGUACAAAUCUCGAAUCCCACCCAGCUUUCACUGACCCAUGUCCUGAGCUUCAGGGAUCUUAAGGGAUCAUUGUUUUGCAAUGUUAGAAAUAAUAAGGUUUAUGGUCAACUAAUGGUAACCUUUCUCUUAAGUAAAUUUUGUAGGCAUUUGGACAAAUUCUGAUAAAGCUCAUAAAUGGAAAAUCUAGGAAUUGUAUCCUCCCAGUUUUUUUUUCUUGGAACUUGAUAUUUCCUCAGUUUCAAUAUUGAACAAGCUUUGUAUAUGGCUGUUACUUUAAAAAUAUUUUGUGUACCCUGUGGGUGACACACUCAGUGAUUAGCAUUUAAGGGAGAGAGUCCCAGUUCCAGCUUGUUGCCUCAGUAUCCAAGAGUCCCUCUGAAGGUAUCCCAGUCGGUGAAUUUGCUGGCUUUUCUGCAAAUUGUUUUUAUCAGGUCUUACAUUUGAACUUUGUAACAACUUAUGACUUGGUUAUUGCAGUUUGUCAUCUUGUUCUGCGAAAAAAGUAUAUUUGAAGUUGAAUUAUCCAAAGAGGAAUGGCUGCCUGUGGGUUGUGUAGAAGAGAACUUUCUGAAAAAGUAAAUUUUUAUGAAAAAC